GUUGGUUGGAUGGUUUGGUGGGGUUGGUAGGUUGGUUGGAUAUUGUUGGUUUGCUGUGGAUGGUUGGUUACCCAUCAAACCAUCCAGCCAACAAUAACCAACCAACCAACCAACACCAUCAAACCAUCCAGCCAACA
rnacentral:pre_miRNA from 1 species